UCUCACUAUCUAUCGAUGGUGAUUUUCUUCAUUUUGUUUAAAAUCAGGCAGCGGCCAGACAACCGUAGUGAUGGUUUCCACAGAUGAACAGUUAUUUCCAUCUGUUCGUCUACUAAAUUCUAUCUCACAUCC